rnacentral:rRNA from 1 species
CUUGGUGUGAAUUGCAGAAUUCAGUGAAUCAUCGAAUCUUUGAACGCACAUUGCGCCCCUUGGUAUUCCAUGGGGCAUGCCUGUUCGAGCGUCAUUUGUACCUUCAAGCUCUGCUUGGUGUUGGGUGUUUGUCUCGCCUCUGCGCGUGGACUCGCCUCAAAACAAUUGGCAGCCGGCGUAUUGAUUUCGGAGCGCAGUACAUCUCGCGCUUUGCACUCAGAACGACGACGUCCAAAAGUACAUUUUUACACUCUUGACCUCGGAUCAGGUAGGGAUACCCGCUGAACUUAAGCAUAUCAAUAAGCGGAGGAA